rnacentral:rRNA from 1 species
CCUACGGGAGGCAGCAGUGGGGAAUAUUCCGCAAUGGGCGAAAGCCUGACGGAGCAACGCCGCGUGAGGGAAGAAGGCUUUCGGGUUGUAAACCUCUGUUGUAUGGGAAGAAGGAUUGACGGUACCAUACGAGGAAGCCCCGGCUAACUACGUGCCAGCAGCCGCGGUAAU